rnacentral:rRNA from 1 species
AGUGAACGCUGGCGGUAGGCCUAACACAUGCAAGUCGAACGGCAGCACAGGAGAGCUUGCUCUCUGGGUGGCGAGUGGCGGACGGGUGAGGAAUACAUCGGAAUCUACUCUGUCGUGGGGGAUAACGUAGGGAAACUUACGCUAAUACCGCAUACGACCUACGGGUGAAAGCAGGGGAUCUUCGGACCUUGCGCGAUUGAAUGAGCCGAUGUCGGGUUAGCUAGUUGGCGGGGUAAAGGCCCACCACGGCGACGAUCCGUAGCUGGUCUGAGAGGAUGAUCAGCCACACUGGAACGGAGACACGAUCCAGACUCCUACGGGAGGCAGCAGUGGGGAAUAUUGGACAAUGGGCGCAAGCCUGAUCCAGCCAUACCGCGUGGGUGAAGAAGGCCUUCGGGUUGUAAAGCCCUUUUGUUGGGAAAGAAAUCCAGCGGGCUAAUACCCGGUUGGGAUGACGGUACCCAAAGAAUAAGCACCGGCUAACUUCGUGCCAGCAGCCGCCGUAA